CGCCUGGGGAGUGCGGCCGCAAGGUUAAAACUCAAAUGAAUUGACGGGGGCCCGCACAAGCAGUGGAGCAUGUGGUUUAAUUCGACGCAACGCGAAGAACCUUACCUGGCCUCGACAUCCAGAGAACUUUCCAGAGAUGGAUUGGUGCCUUCGGGAACUCUGAGACAGGUGCUGCAUGGCCGUCGUCAGCUCGUGUCGUGAGAUGUUGGGUUAAGUCCCGUAACGAGCGCAACCCCUAUCCCUGGUUGCUAGCAGGUAAUGCUGAGAACUCCAGGGAGACUGCCGGUGACAAACCGGAGGAAGGUGGGGAUGACGUCAGGUCAUCAUGGCCCUUACGGCCAGGGCUACACACGUGCUACAAUGGCGCGUACAGAGGGCUGCCAACUCGCGAGAGUGAGCCAAUCCCUUAAAACGCGUCGUAGUCCGGAUCGGAGUCUGCAACUCGACUCCGUGAAGUCGGAAUCGCUAGUAAUCGCGAAUCAGAAUGUCGCGGUGAAUACGUUCCCGGGCCUUGUACACACCGCCCGUCACACCAUGGGAGUGGAUUGCACCAGAAGUAGUUAGUCUAACCUUCGGGAGGACGAUUACCACGGUGUGGUUCAUGACUGGGGUGAAGUCGUAACAAGGUAACCGUA
rnacentral:rRNA from 1 species